rnacentral:miRNA from 1 species
UUGGCCAAAAAGUUUGUUCCGGUUUUUCCAUAAGCUCUUAUGAAAAAUCCCGAGCAAAGUUUUUUGCCA